rnacentral:rRNA from 1 species
UACGUAGGGUGCGAGCGUUAAUCGGAAUUACUGGGCGUAAAGCGUGCGCAGGCGGUUAUGCAAGACAGAGGUGAAAUCCCCGGGCUCAACCUGGGAACUGCCUUUGUGACUGCAUAGCUAGAGUGCGGCAGAGGGGGAUGGAAUUCCGGGUGGAGUGGUGAAAUGCGUAGAGAUCCGGAGGAACACCAAAGGCGAAGGCAGUGUCCUGGGGAGUACCUGACGCUCAGGUGCGAAAGCCAGGGGAGCGAACGGG